GCCCUACCAUCAGUGGAAGGUCAGGGUGUUCUGCCAAGCUUGUGGAAAUCAUCUUACAGGUGCUGGCAUCCACAAGAGGGCUCGGAAGGUCCUGAAUAUUGAUAGGUAUUACCUCCUGGUGACAGAGACACUCAGGUGCAGCGGGUGUAAUCUCUCACGUAUUUAUCAACAUCCCAGAGCCUCCGGGACCAACUGGACUUGCCGCACCAGAAACUAUUUCGGCUCAUCCUCACCCAAAAGUAUGCUUGUGACAUACGAGUGAUCAGGCUGAUGAGAGACAGACACCAGACACCCUCUCAGAGCAGCCAUAGGAUCUGAGAUGUCUGUUGCCGUUCCUGGGAUCGUGUGGUCCCUGAGCUCCUCGGCCCUGUAGACGCAGGGUGAAUCCAAGGAACCUGCAGCCUCUUUGCUGGGAGUACCGGACGCCAGCUGAUGAUGUAGACCCGCCGAUUUCUGCCAGGAUCGGUUUGAAUCAUGGACAAGUGGUUUGGUGACUCCAGCAUUUUUAAUGAACUUGUACCGUGGAACUGCGGCUAUUUUAUUGCUCCAAGGAUGUCGGGGUCCGGUGGAGGAAUAGUGACUGUUAUAAGCAGUUUUACUUGUAAACAGUUGCCUCUGGCCUGGUUUAGUAGCUUUGAGAUCARCCUAUUUGAACUCGGCAGCUCUCACACUGCGCUGUG